AAUAAUUAAAUAAAUAAAUAAAUAAAAUCUCAAACUUGGACCUCUCUCAAAAGUCCACUAAGCUACCAAUAUUAGUCUAUAAAUACCAAGGCUUCACUUGAGAAAAAGGAAGAAAAGCAAAAUACUCUGAGGUUUCCUUGAAACAAAACCCUGGACAAAACCUGGAGAGAAACCUGACAGAGAACUCAGAGCAGCCUCCAAACCCUGAAGGGAACUCAACUGCACAGAAUC
rnacentral:lncRNA from 1 species